rnacentral:rRNA from 1 species
UACAGAGGUCUCAAGCGUUGUUCGGAUUCAUUGGGCGUAAAGGGUGUGUAGGUGGCGCGCUAAGUCGGGUGUGAAAUUUCGGAGCUUAACUCCGAAACUGCAUUCGAUACUGGCGUGCUUGAGGACUGGAGAGGAGACUGGAAUUUACGGUGUAGCGGUGAAAUGCGUAGAUAUCGUAAGGAAGACCAGUGGCGAAGGCGGGUCUCUGGACAGUUCCUGACGCUGAGGUGCGAAAGCGUGGGGAGCAAACAGG